rnacentral:rRNA from 1 species
CCCCCCCUCUCCCACCUACCAAACGUAUUAGGGUUUCUCCCAGGGUUUUUCCCCGCGCCGCCGCCACCCCGCUCCUCCGGAUCGCCGCCAUGGCAGCCGCCGCCGCCGCCGCCGACCAGGCUACGAAUUUGCUGCAGAAGCUAUCCCUUGAUGCCAAGGCUGAAGCCAUCGACGCGCCGGCGGCGAAGGAGAAGGCGUCCGGAGGGCUGGGCGGCAAGCUGAAUGGUGUGGCGGCGACUGGGAAGCCACGGGCGGCUGAGCAGUGGGCAAAUCCUCAGGAUUACAGCGAUGCAAGCAUGUAUUAUGGCGCCUACCCUGCUGCUUACUAUUGCGCAGGUUGGGGUGAUUAUUCCAUGUACUUGAAUCAGGAUGGAGUGGAAACACCUACCGCUGGUGCCUAUGGUGACAUGUACUGCUAUCCUCAAUAUGGGCAUGAUGGUCAGAUGUAUGGGUCACAGCAAUAUCAGUACCCAUCAUCAUACCACCAGCCCCAGAAUACUGCCAGUAAGCCACAAUACAAGUCUAAAACUGACAAGCUAGCCCCGUCAAAGGAUAUUUCCUCCACUGUUGCUGAUCCGCUGCAUGCCGUAGCCAGUGCUCCCAAAGCCACUGCAAACAGCGUUGAUGAGGUAAAAGGUCUGAAGAAGACAUCCACACCACUGAACCCAAGUGGGAACAAUGGUAGUUACCUGAACCAAAGUAGCAGACCAGCUUAUCCAUGGUACGGUGGCCAAAUCUACCAGGGAAAACAGCAGAAGCCUUCUAGUGGCAAUCCUACUUCAACUGAUUCAAAUCCUAAAAGCAAGGUUCAGUCGAAGAAUCAGAAUACUCAACCUCUUCCUCCUCUGAUGAGUUUACCUAACUCACCGGUGGCUUCAAUGUAUGCUGCUAAUGGAAUGUACAACAGCAAUGCCUACGGUGGCUUUUGGUAUGGAUCCCAGUUUUAUGGGCCAGGAAUGUAUGGUGGGUGGAAUAAUCUGUCGGAUGGAAAAUACAAGCCCCGAGGGAGGACAGCGUAUGGAUCGUAUGGAUUUCCCAAUGAAAACUUGGAUGGUUUGAAUGAGUUGAAGAGAGGACCACGGAGUGGACUCUCUAAUAACCAACAGGGCUUUGGACCUGCUGCUGCAACAGCUGUCAAAGCACAGGAUGUUUCUGCUACUGAUGGUUCUAAUGCAGUUGUGCAGGAUCAGUACAACGGGUCUGACUUAGCUGACACUUACGAAAAUGCCAAAUUCUUUAUUAUUAAGUCGUACAGCGAGGAUGAUGUUCACAAGAGCAUCAAGUACAAUGUUUGGGCUAGCACACCUAAUGGAAAUAAAAAGCUUGACAGUACUUAUCUGGAAGCUAAAUCUGUCAAUUCUCCUGUAUUCCUUCUCUUCUCUGUUAACACCAGUGGGCAGUUUGUUGGUCUCGCUGAGAUGGUUGGCCAGGUUGAUUUUGACAAGACGGUGGAACACUGGCAGCAAGACAAGUGGACUGGUUGCUUCCCUGUCAAGUGGCACAUUGUCAAGGAUAUUCCCAACAACUUGUUAAAGCAUAUCAUUCUCGAGUAUAAUGAAAACAAACCAGUGACAAACAGCAGAGACACACAGGAGGUCAAGCUCGAGCAAGGGCUUCAGGUGUUGAAGAUUUUCAAGGAUCAUGUCUCGAAAACAUCCAUCCUGGAUGACUUCAGCUUUUAUGAUAACCGUGAGAAGAUAAUGCAAGAGAGGAAAUCACAGCGGCAGCUUCAACUGAAGAAGAUCACGAGUCCGAAGUUGCUGCCUACUGUUGACAACACCGAAAAUGAUUCCGGCAAUGUGCAGGAAUCGCAGAAGCCUGAAGUUACCGGAGAGAACAAAUCUGCGGUGGAAGACAAUGUGGAGGCGGCUGCCGUGAGUGGCGUUGCCCCGAAAGAUGCUAACCCCACAGCCGCAAGCUUGGCUGUCGCAAAUGGCUGCUGAUAUUUUUGUCUGUUGAGUUGUGAGUAAGGUGACAUGACAGCUUGGGAGUUUUGGAGGAGGCUGGCGCAGUUCAACUGUUGGAGGCAAUCAGGGCUCUGUUGGGGUUCCGUAGGUGUUUUUGCAGAAAGUUUGAGGGAUAUGAUUAGGUGUCUCUUGAGAUUUCCCCCCUGUAUUAUUAUUUCUCUAUCUUGGAGUUGAGUUCGUCUGGUAGGAGAUAGAGAUCAUCAUUUGUUGAUCUGGGGUGGUGGUGUGUUGUCUUUUUUUAUCUUGUCGUCGGUAGAAAAUGUACCUAGGUGUGGUGAUUUGUACUGGUUUUGCAAGAAGUAACUUGUCUGUUUCAGUGUUUAUGUACUUCGUGCCAGAUGCGUCUCAUGUUUCCUUGAACAAUGUUCUGUGCGACUUUGGCCCACGUUGAGCUUUCUUU